UACGUAGGGGGGCGAGCGUUGUCCGGAUUUAUUGGGCGUAAAGAGCGUGUAGGCGGCCAGGUAGGUCAGCUGUGAAAACUCGAGGCUCAACCUCGAGAUGUCGGCUGAAACCAUCUGGCUAGAGUCCGGAAGAGGAGAAUGGAAUUCCCGGUGUAGCGGUGAAAUGCGCAGAUAUCGGGAAGAACACCCGUGGCGAAGGCGGUUCUCUGGGACGGUACUGACGCUGAGACGCGAAAGCGUGGGGAGCGAACAGG
rnacentral:rRNA from 1 species